rnacentral:lncRNA from 10 species
AUUAGAUCCACUUCUAAACUAUCCCCCAGUUUGCCCCACUCCCUAGCUACCUCUUUCCAGAUAAAUACAGCCAUCCCUGUUCUCUUUCUUUCCCAUGAUAUCUGAUAUUCUUCCCUCCGCCUCAAAUCAUUGAAAUGUUCUCCAGAACUCUUCUUACUCCUUAUAUUUUUCUUCUCUGCUUGUUCCCCAAUUUCUUUUUUUAUCUGAAGACAAUUUCCCAAAAUGUCAAUGACUUAGCACUUGGAUAUCCAGGUCACUUUUUUAUUUAUUUCUGACAACCUACUCUACUAACUCUUCCCAGCCUGUCUCUUAGUAGGACCAAUUAUAGAUGUCCAUGAUUCAAUAACAAGAUAUAUUAAUGAGGCUGCAUGGUAUUCUCAAACCAGAGUAGAAUAUAUCUUAUCACAUUUCUUUCUAAAGAGAUUAUGUCUUCACCUUUUCCAAUUCCAAUAGAGCUUGUUAAUUAAAUAAUUAUGAUAGCAUUAUCCAUUAAUCCUUUAACAUGAAGGAUAAAAACAAAGUAACAAAACAGGUUCUUGACCAUUUGUUAUCUGCUCUGUAAUCCCACAUCAUUUCAUAUUUUUACUUUCAGCUCUGUGAGUUUAUACAUUUUAAAUAUUUGAAUACAUAUUUUAGGGGGAUCAGAUGACAGUAAAAGGCUUUAUAGUUUUUACUUCGUUGUAAUUUUUAAGUUCUAUCCUUCCUCAUUCACAAAGUAUGUGUAUUCCUACUAUAGUGGAAUAGGAAGAUAAUACUGAGAUAAUAUAUUUCCCAUGCUGGCAUUAUUUCCUGGCAGAACUAACAAUAAUAGUUCAGACAUGGGUAUUAUUGAGAAAUAGCUGGAAACUAAUAUAAGCCAUACUUUAAGAGAAAAAAAGAUUAUGUUAUACGAUAGACCUGAAAGUAUAUUUUACAACCCUAUUUUCUAGAUGUGGAAGAUGAAUCUACUUGCUCACACAUUCAGAAAACGACACUUAUGAGAUUGCAUAGAAAUUUAAUGUCUCUACAGAACCUUGGUGGGAAUUGAGGUAACACAAAUCAAUAGAAUUAAACAUCUAUAUGGAGAAUAGGAAAGUAAAAAUGAGUGUAAUAAUGUCACAUUAUGCAUGAGAAAAUGCAUACAAUUAUCUUAAGUAGAAAUUAUUUCACAAAUAGUUUGUAUUUAUUGUGUAAAAAUAGCCACAUAUAUUUUAAUAAACAGUUUUGGACACGGUUUCUUUCCUAUGUUUAGGAAACCAUUUAAUUUGCUGAUAGCUAUGGUAUUAUAUGAGUCUUGGCACAUUAAGUAAGUUUUCUGAGCUAAAGAGAACUAACGAAAAUUGGUAGUUUAAAAUCAAUUAGGAAGAAAAUAUGAUAGGAACUAGCAAUUGUGCUUGUGGCAUAGUUUCUAAAGCUUAAUUGACCUUCGUAAGGUACUCGUAGUAAGUAGGUUGUAUCAUAUCACACUGGUAAUAAGAGAAGGAAAAUAGCUUAAAAUAAGGUUUUAAAAUAAUAAAAUUAGGUGUAAUUUUUGUGAUAAAUUAUAUUCUAGUUACUUAUGUCUACAUAUAUACUUUUAAUUGCCCUUCACUUUAUUGCACUUUGCAGAUAUUACAUUUCUUACUAAUUGAAGUUUAUGUCAACCCUGCAUUGAACAAAUCUGUUGACAUCAUUUUUCCAACAGCAUGUGCUUAUAUUGUGUCUAUGUCACAUUUUGGUAAUUCUCACAGUGUUUAACACUUUUAUUACUAUUAUAAUGUCUGUAUGGUGAUAUAUAAUCAGUGACUUUUGAUGUUACUAUUGUAAUUGUUAGAGCACCAUGACCUACACCUAUGCAUGAUGGCAAACAUAAUCAAUAAAUGUCAUGUGUGUUCUGGCCAUUUCCUUGUCUCUUGCCCUCUCCUCUCCUCAGGCCUCCUUAUUCCUGAAGUCACA